rnacentral:rRNA from 1 species
UACAGAGGUCCCAAGCGUUGUUCGGAUUCACUGGGCGUAAAGGGUGCGUAGGUGGUGAGGUAAGUCGGAUGUGAAAUCUCCGAGCUCAACUCGGAAAUGGCAUUGAAACUACCUUGCUCGAGGGUUGGAGGGGGGACUGGAAUGCUUGGUGUAGCAGUGAAAUGCGUAGAUAUCAAGCGGAACACCAGUGGCGAAGGCGAGUCCCUGGACAACUCCUGACACUGAGGCACGAAAGCUAGGGGAGCAAACAGG